UUCUUUUUUUUAAAAUAACAACGAGAGCGUAGAAAUGUCGGAAAUGAAGUUUUAUCCCAUGUACAUCAUGUACUAGACCAAAAGCUUCAGUCUCUGUAUUUUGGUUGUUCCGCUGAACUACGUUGGCUCCACUCACCAUACAUAGACUGAAGGGGAUGGGGCCCCGUACCUACAGCCAACGUAUAGUGAACUAGCGUUUUAUAGAUCGCGAUUUAAAACUGUUUUUUAAGCAAAAUUGAAAGUUUCAUGGUUUCCAUUAUCAGGGAAAUAUAAAUAACUUAAGUAAUUGCAUACCUUGGGCCGGAGUUAUUGAAAAAAAUCCUCUGGAUGAUUGAGAAAUCUGUCAUCUAAGACAUUUUCACCUGACCUGACGGUUUUUCUUGCAAGUUGCCAUCUUGAAUGACGUCAUUAUCGUUAUUAACUUAAUUUCUCGAAUCGAUAUAUCGCGAUUAUAACUAGAACUAGUACUAGUAUAACUAGUAUCGUUUAUCUUCGGUUUCGUUCGCAUAUGGAGCAGAUCGUAUAAUAUCGAAAGCAAUAUCGAUAUCACAUUCGUGAUUGUUGACAUUCGUUUGUAAAUAUUUUAUAGUUUGGCUGCCAUUUUGACCAUUUUUAUCGUGUUCAACCCAAUUAAACAUCGGUAAAGUAUAUUUUUCAUGCCUUUUUUAUCUAUAUCGUUUAAAGUAUUUAAACAUUAAAAUAUAAAGUUUUAAAAGUUUGUUGUUUAUACAUCCUUAGAUUGUAAAUUCGAUGUGUAAAAUUACAUCAAACUUUGGACUGUGAAUUGACAAAAGGGAGGGAAUGAGAACACAUGCGAGCCCACACGUACACCCUACCGUCGGUAAAUGGGGAUUACAGUAAAAUGUCAGAAAUUGUUGAAUAAAUCCCCAGAAACGACGGUUAUUCCUGUCUAAUCAUGUAGGCCUACAUAGCCUGGAGGCGUCUGGGGAGUGAAAGACUUAUACUGUACGUAUGGUCACUCCAAAGACCUUAUAAUAUAUUACUAGACCGAAAGCUGCGUGCGCGUUCAGCACAAAACAAAUGAGAUUAGGCUCCGCCUACCGCGAUCAUUUGAAGACAAAAAUAAGCCCUCAUUGACAUUCAUGAGCAUGAAGAUAUUCAUAAUCCGGCCUUUUCAUUGGCUAAGAGCGUCAUUAAUACGCGAUUUCCCCGAUUCUUUGUCAUCGAUACUAGUGGUAUCGUGUUACAGAAUUAAUUAUUCAUUUGACCUCAUUACGUCAUCUAAUUUAUUCAUUAUGAAACUUUUCUUUCCACACAAAAAUGGACCUACGAACACUCCGGUGAGUUGAGUUUGAAGAACAAGAAAAACAGUAGAGGUCUACCCGGUACCUAUGGUUAAACAUGAUGAUCAUAAGUGCAUGUAUCAUUUUGCAGAUUCUCAUCCAGGAUGAUGCAGCUCUACAAUUUCCAUGGAGGUGAUUGAUGAUGAUAAACAAUUGGUGAAGUAGGCCUAAUAGAACAGUGAUAGGACCACAAAGAGAAAUACAACCUACAGCAGUUAUAUGAGACUGGUGUAACAGAUGUUUUCAUUCAAGAAAUCCAACAAAUUGAAGAGUGACUUAGCUUAGGAAGCACUUGAUAAAGAUGGAAAAGGUUUUUUUUUUCAAGUCCAAUUUUUUUUAUU